GAGUAACACGUGAGCAACCUGCCCCUGACUCUGGGAUAAGCGCUGGAAACGGCGUCUAAUACUGGAUAUGUGACGUGACCGCAUGGUCUGCGUUUGGAAAGAUUUUUCGGUUGGGGAUGGGCUCGCGGCCUAUCAGCUUGUUGGUGAGGUAAUGGCUCACCAAGGCGUCGACGGGUAGCCGGCCUGAGAGGGUGACCGGCCACACUGGGACUGAGACACGGCCCAGACUCCUACGGGAGGCAGCAGUGGGGAAUAUUGCACAAUGGGCGAAAGCCUGAUGCAGCAACGCCGCGUGAGGGAUGACGGCCUUCGGGUUGUAAACCUCUUUUAGCAGGGAAGAAGCGAAAGUGACGGUACCUGCAGAAAAAGCGCCGGCUAACUACGUGCCAGCAGCCGCGGUAAUACGUAGGGCGCAAGCGUUAUCCGGAAUUAUUGGGCGUAAAGAGCUCGUAGGCGGUUUGUCGCGUCUGCUGUGAAAUCCCGAGGCUCAACCUCGGGCCUGCAGUGGGUACGGGCAGACUAGAGUGCGGUAGGGGAGAUUGGAAUUCCUGGUGUAGCGGUGGAAUGCGCAGAUAUCAGGAGGAACACCGAUGGCGAAGGCAGAUCUCUGGGCCGUAACUGACGCUGAGGAGCGAAAGGGUGGGGAGCAAACAGGCUUAGAUACCCUGGUAGUCCACCCCGUAAACGUUGGGAACUAGUUGUGGGGUCCAUUCCACGGAUUCCGUGACGCAGCUAACGCAUUAAGUUCCCCGCCUGGGGAGUACGGCCGCAAGGCUAAAACUCAAAGGAAUUGACGGGGACCCGCACAAGCGGCGGAGCAUGCGGAUUAAUUCGAUGCAACGCGAAGAACCUUACCAAGGCUUGACAUAUACGAGAACGGGCCAGAAAUGGUCAACUCUUUGGACACUCGUAAACAGGUGGUGCAUGGUUGUCGUCAGCUCGUGUCGUGAGAUGUUGGGUUAAGUCCCGCAACGAGCGCAACCCUCGUUCUAUGUUGCCAGCACGUAAUGGUGGGAACUCAUGGGAUACUGCCGGGGUCAACUCGGAGGAAGGUGGGGAUGACGUCAAAUCAUCAUGCCCCUUAUGUCUUGGGCUUCACGCAUGCUACAAUGGCCGGUACAAAGGGCUGCAAUACCGUGAGGUGGAGCGAAUCCCAAAAAGCCGGUCCCAGUUCGGAUUGAGGUCUGCAACUCGACCUCAUGAAGUCGGAGUCGCUAGUAAUCGCAGAUCAGCAACGCUGCGGUGAAUACGUUCCCGGGUCUUGUACACACCGCCCGUCAAGUCAUG
rnacentral:rRNA from 1 species